AGAUGCUUGGCUGACGCCUGAUUUGUUUUUAAGAAUUAAAAUUUAACAAUAUAACCUCAAAAUUAUAAACUACUAGGUUGUAUCCAACAUUGCCUAUAGCCCCCACCCUCCACACACCCUCAAACUGCUCUGGAGAAUUACAGGAUUGUCCAGAGAUGAUGGAGGGGUUUUGGAGGGAAAGGUAAGUCCACUCACGCAACAUGGGAUGCUGCCCACUUUGAAACAUGCUCCUCAGAAUGCAAUCCCCUUUGUUUCUUAGAAGUUAUUUCAUAUUCAUGUUUUCCAUACAAUAUUUUUAAAGCAGUGAUAUAAUAUGAAAUAUAGAACACUCAUCUAUUCAUGUGCAUGUGAAGAUCUAUUGCCCCAUGUAUAAUUUACUAGUUUAAAAUAUGUGAAAAACCUCCUGCAUCUAAGAAAGCUUGAUCAUGCUUUAAAGAAAUAAAACCAUUAUUUUGA